CACCGCCUGGGGAGUACGACCGCAAGGUUAAAACUCAAAUGAAUUGACGGGGACCCGCACAAGUAGUGGAGCAUGUGGUUUAAUUCGAAGAUACGCGCAGAACCUUACCAACACUUGACAUGUUCGUCGCGACUCUAAGAGAUUAGAGUUUUCGGUUCGGCCGGACGAAACACAGGUGCUGCAUGGCUGUCGUCAGCUCGUGUCGUGAGAUGUUGGGUUAAGUCCCGCAACGAGCGCAACCCUCACUUUUAGUUGCCAUCAUUAAGUUGGGCACUCUGAAAGAACUGCCAGUGAUAAGCUGGAGGAAGGUGGGGAUGACGUCAAGUCCUCAUGGCCCUUACGUGUUGGGCUACACACGUGCUACAAUGGUAUCUACAACAGGAAGCAAGACGGCGACGUUAAGCAAAUCCUUAAAAGAUACCUCAGUUCGGAUUGCACUCUGCAACUCGAGUGCAUGAAGCUGGAAUUACUAGUAAUCGUGGAUCAGCGUGCCACGGUGAAUGCGUUCCCGGGUCUUGUACACACCGCCCGUCACACCAUGGGAGUUGGUUCUACCUUAAGGCAAGGUUUUAAACCCUUGACCACGGUAUAGUCAGCGACUGGGGUGAAGUCGUAACAAGGUAGCCGUAGGGGAACCUGCGGCUGGAUUACCUCCUCUCUAAGGAUGAAUAAAAGUAAAAUUUUAUUCUAAAUAAUAUACAGGUAAUGUUGACCGUCCUCAUUUCUCUUCUUAAAGUAGUGUUUCUCUUGCAUGGGGGCCGGUAGCUCAGUUGGUUAGAGCACACCCUUGAUAAGGGUGGGGUCGAAAGUUCGAGUCUUUCUCGGCCCACCAAUUUAAAAGGGGGAUUAGCUCAGCUGGGAGAGCGCCUGAUUUGCAUUCAGGAGGUCAGCGGUUCGAUCCCGCUAUCCUCCACCAAAACACUUAGUUAUAAAAAUUGUGAAAAAAAUAAUUAAUAUCAAUAUCUAUAUCCGAAUAUUAGAAAUGUUAUUAUCUAAUAUUCAUAAUAAAAAUUUGAUUCAACACAGAAUUUUUUUCUG
rnacentral:sRNA from 1 species